CUCACGGGUGGGUGGCGUGCUCCGGUCGGCGCCCUCCGGGGCCGAUCCCCGACUGCCCGCUGCCGCCGGGGUCUUUCCCAUACCAAAGCGGAGCCGCAACGGGAGCGGCGCGGAGUGAGACCCUUUCCUCCGCGCGUCAGUUCCUGGCUCCGUGGGUACCCCGGCGAGCGCGACUGUCCGGCGUACUUCCCCUACGGGGGAGGGCGCCGCCUGUUCGCAGGGGGGCGCAGGCCCGGGACUUGCCAUACGACGCCGUCGCGCAAAUCUGUUGUUGGCCACACCGGCUCUGCUUGGGCUCUCGGUUGGCGGUCCGCGCGUAAGGUUGCUGGGGACUUUAGGGCUUAGGGUUCGCCCGGUCCGGGUCCUGCCAGCAGCCCCGCGCGGUUCUCUGCCCUCCGAUCCUGCUCUGUCCGGAGUGGCCUAGCGCGCGUGCUGUCGGCAAGUACCAUGAGCAGACAUGUUGGGACCCGAAAGAUGGUGAACUAUGCCUGGCCAGGAUGAAGCCAGAGGAAACUCUGGUGGAGGUCCGCAGCAAUUCUGACGUGCAAAUCGAUUGUCAGAGCUGGGUAUAGGGGCGAAAGACUAAUCGAACCAUCUAGUA
rnacentral:rRNA from 1 species